GAGCACCAUCCAUUGCUUCCUCUUCUUCUUCACCGCUGCAUCAAGAUUCGCAAAUUGGUCUCUCUCUCUCUCUCUCUCUCUCUCCCUCUCUCUCUCUCUCUCUCUAAGGUUCUACAUUUUCUUUGCCUCCCCCUGCCAACCGUACCAAAUGGAGUGUGAACAUGAUAUUGGUUUAAGGUAAUAAUAUUCUUUUCUCUGA